ACCUGCGGAAGGACCAUUA
rnacentral:rRNA from 1 species